ACAAAAAAAAAUAUUGAAUAUUUUAUUGCUUAAAUGUUUUACAAAUCUUUUUGCCAACAAUACAUAGUCUUGUAUCAUUUAUAAUUGUAAUAGAAGAGUGUGAGGCCAAAUUUCACCACUUGAUGAAACCUAUGCCACACAAUAAGUCCAAGAGGUGGAAUUGGAGAGCUCCCAAUUGUGUAAUUAUUAGAUUAAUUUAAAUCUUUAUAUUAAAAAUUCAAUUAUUUUUAGGCCUUCCAAGCAAUGGUUACCAACAUUAAAUUAAUAUGUUAAAUGAAAUUUACUAUGCAAACACAAUAAAAAUAAUUAACUAAGUUAUUACUAUUAAUUGACCAUAAGAAUAAAAACUUAAGUUUGAAUUAAAAGCUAAGUUAAAAAUUAAGUUAAAAAAAGUUAUAGUCAAAAUUAAGAUUAAAAAGCUAAGUUAAAAGUUAAAAGUUAAAAUUAAAAGGUUAAGUAAAAAAAGUAAGUUGAAAGUUAAAAUUAAAGUUUAAGUAAAAAGUUAAAGUUAAAAGUUAAAGUUAAAAGUGAAAAUAUUAAAGGUUGCAAGUUAAACUUAAAAUUUAUUAGCCAAAAAGUGAAAUGUGGAGCUUAUAAGUCACUGUAAAGAUGAUAGUAAAAAUAAAGUCAGAGAGGUAAAAGCGAAGGUACCUUGACAAUACGUAAGGAUUGAAGGCAGCGACCCCCUUCUACUCCAAAAUUUGCCAAAAUUUGUAAUUGGCUUCAAUUUGAAUGAUUCUUAGCUUGUUGCAAGGCUGACUUAAAGACGCUUUUGAUCCAACAAUCCUUGUUGCAAUCUAAUGAACCAGUCGUGAGAAUUCCUCCUUUGAAGUUGAAAGAUCCAAACUACUGCGGUGACCAACCCUCUUCACUUAGAAAUUCACUAAAAAUUCAGAUUAUCUUAAAAUUCAAAAAAAUUUAUGCCUUCCAAAGCUCAGCUUAUAAAGCUUGAUGUUUCCAAAAUUUCAAAUAAAUCCAAUCACUAAGCACUGAGAAAUGCCUUUCCAAACUCGAAAGAUUCAAACUGCAAAGGCAGUCGACUCCCUCAAACUCAGAAAUUCACCAAAAAUUCCUUCUUACUUCAAAUCAAGCAAUUCUU
rnacentral:lncRNA from 1 species